rfam:Oryza barthii chromosome 5, whole genome shotgun sequence.
AAAAAAACAAUCCUUAUGUUCCCGUGUCCAACAAUUUAACCGUCUCUCUUAUUUAAAAAAAUUAUAAAAAAAAUUUAAAGAACAACUCAUGCAUAAAGUAUUAAUCAUGUUUUAUCAUUUAACAACAAUAAAAAUACUAAUUAUAAAAAAAUUCAUAUAAGAUAGACAGUCAAAAGUUGGAUACGAAAACCUAGUAUUUAUC